UACAGAGGGGGCAAGCGUUAUUCGGAAUUAUUGGGCGUAAAGGGCGCGUAGGCGGCCUGGCAAGUGGAAGGUGAAAUCCCUCGGCUUAACCGAGGAACUGCCCUCCAAACUGCUUGGCUUGAGUCCGGGAGAGGUGAGUGGAAUUCCCAGUGUAGCGGUGAAAUGCGUAGAGAUCGGGAGGAACACCAGUGGCGAAGGCGGCUCGCUGGGCCGGACCUGACGCUGAGGCGCGAAGGCGUGGGGAGCGAACGGG
rnacentral:rRNA from 1 species